rnacentral:rRNA from 1 species
UAGCGGCGGACGGGUGAGUAACACGUGGGUAACCUGCCUGUAAGACUGGGAUAACUCCGGGAAACCGGGGCUAAUACCGGAUGCUUGUUUGAACCGCAUGGUUCAAACAUAAAAGGUGGCUUCGGCUACCACUUACAGAUGGACCCGCGGCGCAUUAGCUAGUUGGUGAGGUAACGGCUCACCAAGGCAACGAUGCGUAGCCGACCUGAGAGGGUGAUCGGCCACACUGGGACUGAGACACGGCCCAGACUCCUACGGGAGGCAGCAGUAGGGAAUCUUCCGCAAUGGACGAAAGUCUGACGGAGCAACGCCGCGUGAGUGAUGAAGGUUUUCGGAUCGUAAAGCUCUGUUGUUAGGGAAGAACAAGUGCCGUUCAAAUAGGGCGGCACCUGUGACGGUACCUAACCAGAAAGCCACGGCUAACUACGUGCCAGCAGCCGCGGUAAUACGUAGGUGGCAAGCGUUGUCCGGAAUUAUUGGGCGUAAAGGGCUCGCAGGCGGUUUCUUAAGUCUGAUGUGAAAGCCCCCGGCUCAACCGGGGAGGGUCAUUGGAAACUGGGGAACUUGAGUGCAGAAGAGGAGAGUGGAAUUCCACGUGUAGCGGUGAAAUGCGUAGAGAUGUGGAGGAACACCAGUGGCGAAGGCGACUCUCUGGUCUGUAACUGACGCUGAGGAGCGAAAGCGUGGGGGAGCGAACAGGAUUAGAUACCCUGGUAGUCCACGCCCGUAAACGAUGAGUGCUAAGUGUUAGGGGGGUUUUCCGCCCCCUUAGUGCUGCAGCUAACUGCAUUUAAGCACCUCCGCCUGGGG